GAUGAACGCUAGCGGCAGGCUUAAUACAUGCAAGUCGAGGGGUAACAGGGAAGCUUGCUUCUGCUGACGACCGGCGCACGGGUGCGUAACGCGUAUGCAACCUACCUUAUACAGGGGGAUAGCCCGAAGAAAUUCGGAUUAAUACCCCAUAGUAUUACAGAUUCGCAUGAUGAAGUAAUUAAAGAUUUAUCGGUAUAAGAUGGGCAUGCGUCUGAUUAGAUAGUUGGUGAGGUAACGGCUCACCAAGUCCACGAUCAGUAGGGGUUCUGAGAGGAAGAUCCCCCACACUGGCACUGAGAUACGGGCCAG
rnacentral:rRNA from 1 species